AAUUCAACCAGGGAAGUUGUGGUUGAAGAUUCGAUCAUAAGGUCGGGGUCCUGAAAUAAAUAAUUUAAAAGAUCAGGGCUAGGGAGUUCCAUGAAAAAUGAAUAUGGCUUAUGCAGACUCUUUAAUAAUGGCUGAAUUGGAGACUAUGGAAAGAGUAUCAAAGUGCUUUAUUUGCAGAAAGAAAUAAUAUUUAUUCUACUUCCCAUGGAAAAAAGGAAGCCAUAGAGCAGCCACCCACAUCCACAACUUAAAUGCCAUCUAUAUACUGAAGACACCUAUAUUCAAUAUUUAGAUCACUGGAGAGGAGGCAAGUCUGCUUACAAGAUAAAGAUGGAGCAGCCAAGGAUAUAGAAAGACUGCGAGGAAAGUGUACAAGCUCAAAAGCUAGUCAAGAGAUGGGAACAUGUGUGAAAGGAAGGGGAAAUUUCAAUUGUAUUGAAUGUUGUU
rnacentral:lncRNA from 1 species